rnacentral:rRNA from 1 species
UAGGGAAUCUUCCGCAAUGGGCGAAAGCCUGCCGGAGCAACGCCGCGUGAGUGAUGAAGGUCUUCGGAUCGUAAAACUCUGUUAUUAGGGAAGAACAAAUGUGUAAGUAACUAUGCACGUCUUGACGGUACCUAAUCAGACAGCCACGGCUAACUACGUGCCAGCAGCCGCGGUAAUACGUAGGUGGCAAGCGUUAUCCGGAAUUAUUGGGCGUAAAGCGCGCGUAGGCGGUUUUUUAAGUCUGAUGUGAAAGCCCACGGCUCAACCGUGGAGGGUCAUUGGAAACUGGAAAACUUGAGUGCAGAAGAGGAAAGUGGAAUUCCAUGUGUAGCGGUGAAAUGCGCAGAGAUAUGGAGGAAAAACAGUGGCGAAGGCGACUUUCUGGUCUGUAACUGACGCUGAUGUGCGAAAGCGUGGGGAUCAAACAGG